rnacentral:rRNA from 1 species
GGUGAACGCUGGCGGCGUGCCUAACACAUGCAAGUCGAACGGAGUCCAGCCUUUAAGACCUUCGGGUCAAAGAGGGGAAGACUGAGUGGCGGACGGGUGAGUAACACGUGGGCAACCUGGCUCAUAGAGGGGGAUAACAGAGAGAAAUUUCUGCUAAUACCGCAUAAGCACACACUGCCGCAUGGCAGAGGGUGAAAAGAGAAUCGCUAUGAGAUGGACCCGCGUCUGAUUAGCCAGUUGGCAGGGUAAGAGCCUACCAAAGCGACGAUCAGUAGCCGAUCUGAGAGGAUGAACGGCCACAUUGGGACUGAGACACGGCCCAAACUCCUACGGGAGGCAGCAGUGGGGGAUAUUGCACAAUGGGGGGAACCCUGAUGCAGCGACGCCGCGUGAGUGAAGAAGUAUUUCGGUAUGUAAAGCUCUAUCAGCAGGGAAGAUAAUGACAGUACCUGAAUAAGAAGCCCCGGCUAACUACGUG